rnacentral:lncRNA from 1 species
AAGAACUACAGGGAUGGAAAUGAAGAGGAGCCUGAGGAAAAGAAGGUCCAGUGACAGGCCCUAAGUGGGAUCCAGCUCAAGAGGAGGUUCCAAGGACUGACACAGAGGUUAUGGAGCACUCACAAAAAAGGACCUAUCAUGACUUCUCUCCAAAAGACCCAACAAGCAGCUGAAAGAGUCAGAUGCAGAUAUUUGCACCCAACCAAUGGACAGAAGCAGCUGACCCCUGUUGUUGAAAUAGGGAAGGUUGAAAGAAGCUUUAAGAAUCUUCCUCAAAACUUCAUAUCAUCUAUGACAACCACUACAGAGUACUCUGCUGCAGUAUAACACACCAUUUCUAAAAUAUUGACCUAACUAUUUAGUAAUCAGUUGUGUGGUCUUAUUUAACAUAUUUAAUUCAUUAAUAAUAACCUAACUUCAU